GCGGGCAGAUCAUGAGGCCAAGAGAUCGAGACCAUCCUGGCCAAUAUGGUGAAACCCCUUCUCUACUAAAGAUACAAAAAAUUAGCUGGGCGUGGUGGUAUGUGCCUGUAGUCCCAGCUACUUGGGAGGCUAAGGCAGGAGAAUUGCUUGAACCUGGGAGGCAGAGGUUGCAGUGAGCCGAGUUCGUGCUACUGCACUCCAGCCUGGCGACAGAGCAAGACUCUCCACUAGCUCCAUGCACCGUGUUGUAGGAGACGGUCCCUAAAGGGUCUGCAAGCUGGAGGAGGGAGGGCACGGCAUAGGCCUGGCUGUGGGCAAACACAGGGACAGGGCCCUAGGGGAGGCUGAGAGUU
rnacentral:lncRNA from 1 species